GUUACGGCAGUGUCUUUUACAAGUAGAGCUAGAGAAUGGGAUGUCACUUUUCAAUUAUAAGAAAUAGGGAUUCUUAUCCAAAAGUGUGUAUUAUAUGCUCUGUAUAGUUAACCAGAGUUCAAACAAGUGGUAAUGUUUCUCUUAAUUUAACUCAUUAUGUGCCUUCUUUGGACAUUAAAAAACACAUAUAUUAAAUGUAUUUUAAAUAUAAGUUAUUUCUUUGUGAACGCUAAUCGUCAGCCCUUACCAAAAAAAUAAAUUGACAGAGGCGCCUCUUUGCACUACUUACUAUCAAUAAACUUUAAAUUGGUUGUUUUUUGAAACAUUUUUUUUUAAAGCUUGCAUUAAAGUAAAUCUGAAACAAAUGUUUAAACAAACUAGCUAAGACACUAAUUUUUAUGUAUAAUCACAAUGUUUCACACCUAUCUUUAUUGAGUAAAAAUAGUUAUGCUACAUGUAAGACUGUGUGUAAAGAAUAAUGGAGCUAAAAAUACAUUUUGUAAUGAUCAUAGUGUAACUUAAGCAGAAUUUUUUCCCCUUGCAGUGUUUUAGAAUUUGAAAAUAAUGGUUUCUCAAAGAACCUAUUAAUUUCUGUACUGAGGAAUCCAAGACUUGCACUGAUGUUUUUAUUACUGCCUUUAUAAGAAUCUAUAGGUAUCUCAAUGUUAAGGCAUGUAUGAUCUUUGGUAAAAUAUUCUUUUAUCUUUUCAAAUUAAUGUUAUAUGAAACUUUCAAUAUUUUGCCUUAAAUUGGUUGACUGUUUUUUCUAUGAUUCACGUGGCAUUUAAAAAAGAAAACAUUCAAUUUGAUACUUAAGAUUUAAGAUCACAAAUGGAUAAAGCCCCACUACCAUAGUCCAUGGAUUUACUUACAUGCUGUUUGACUAGCAGUGCAAAUAGGAAUAUAUAUGGCAAUUAGUCUCAUCUAUAAGAACCAAAUAAUUUAAUUAUAUUAAGGUAGUGAAUAAAGAUGUAUAAUAUUUUUAUUAAUACCUUAAAAUAUUCAGUGGAUUGAAUGUGACUUCAUAACUGUACUAUGAUUGUAUUAAAAUAUUUCUGGAACAAA
rnacentral:lncRNA from 1 species